UACGUAGGCCGCAAGCGUUGAUCCGGAAUUAUUGGGCGUAAAGAGCUCGUAGGCGGUUUGUCGCGUCUGCCGUGAAAGUCCGGGGCUCAACUCCGGAUCUGCGGUGGGUACGGGCAGACUAGAGUGGAUGUAGGGGAGACUGGAAUUCCUGGUGUAGGCAGGUGUAAAUGCGCAGAUAUCAGGGAGGAACACCGAGUGGCGAAAGGCAGGUCUCUGGGCAUUAACUGACGCUGGAGGAGCGAAAGCCAUGGGGAGCGAACAGG
rnacentral:rRNA from 1 species